GCUCGCAUAGAUCAAUUGGUUAGAUCGCCUCCAAAUUUGUGCUGAAGGAUGUCAAAAUAUAUAUGUAGGAGACGGGGGUUCGAGUCCUCCUGCGGGCA